rnacentral:rRNA from 1 species
CGCGUAGGCGGGUUUGUAAGUCAGAGGUGAAAUCCUACAGCUUAACUGUAGAACUGCCUUUGAAACUACAAAUCUUGAGUUUGGAAGAGAGAGACGGAAUUCCAGGUGUAGUGGUGAGAUACGUAGAUAUCUGGAAGAACACCAGUGGCGAAGGCGGUCUCUUGGUCCAUAACUGACGCUGAGGCGCGAAAGCGUGGGGAGCAAACA